AGGCUAAGGUUAGCCAAGCCUCCUUCACUCCAUUGGUUAGAGUCCUCGUUGCUUGCUACCUACGACUGGGGGGUUCUGACAAGCACGAUUUACAUCGAGCUCGCCCUGCGCUGCUAUUUACUCUGAAACCUGAUUAGUAUGGGUCGCUAUUGUCACAAAAGAGGAAGAAACCCUGGACAGAAUAGCCAAAAAGAGGGGUAAAAGAGGGGGACAUAGCUCGGUGCACGUGAAAUAAACAAACGUGCGAGGGUGAAAGGACUCGAGUCGAGUCCCUCAAAGUUUGAGACGGUUUGUUUGAAGCUGCUGUCUUAAUUAUAGCCUAAAUGCUAAUGUGACUGACAGUAUCAGUGCCCUGUUCUCUAAUUUUACAAUAUGAAGAAAUACGUGUGAUAACACGCAGCGCAUGUAAACCACUUUUCAUACCAAUGCAGAGGAGAACAUAGCGCAAUGUAAACGAAGAGCAUUUAUGUGAAAACAUCUAUAUUGCAAAAAAAAAAAAAAAAAAAACGAUCGCUUAAUACAGAACCAGCCUUAAUAAUAGUGGCCGAUUCUGAUUACAGCGAGACGGAAACACACAGCUUGAAACCCGACAGAGAUAUUGGAAUUGGUAAUGCAUAGCAAGAAUACAACGCGGAUGCCAUGUUAUGUUGCUAUUAUUACAGUAAUUCCAAAAUUAAGUUAAGUUGCUUGAAAAUUGCGCGGGGAAUCCGACUGUCUGUAUCGAGACAGAGAAGCCUGCGCCGAACAGACUUAAAAUGUCUGGAUCGGACUGCCAUCUAGCGUACAGUAGACAAUUACAGAGGCACAGUGCUGUAUAAUGUAUUGUAAUCAAGUACCUUUUAAAGAAAUGUUAUAAAAAUGCAGAUGCAUAUGGAUUUUUUAUCAGCACUAUUGCGAUUGUUGACGUAGUGUGCAAUAAAGCAAAAUUCUCAUCUUGCUACUUUGCAACCAUUUUUGCAGAAUAAAUUUCCCGAACAAAAAAGUUUUUCAUAAAACACAUUCUGCUUCUGUAUGAAAGAAAAGUAUGUUGCGUUAAGAUGUACACCAAUAAUCGUGUUGACGUGCGUAUAUAUUCUUAUACGUACAAACAUGAUGUCAAAUGUGCCAAUGCGUCCCUUUUCAACUCAUAAGUUCAGCGGCGUAAUAGUUUUAUAACACAAAUGGUUCCAGAGCUGAACGGUCAGGGUUAGUGCGGGUUUAUAGUUGGUAUUACUUCGUAAAUGCAAUGUACAAAUAGCAAAGAGGCAGCAUUACAAUAGGAUGCAAAUGUCGAAGCAGUGCCCCAGUAAAUGCAGUUCUUGGGGGGAUGUCUGUUUUUGACUAUUCAGCAACGGCGCUUUUCGCGUCCCUCUCCCCGCUGCUCCAAAUAAACUCUCGGUCAUGUCUUCUGCUUCUUGAAAAGAUUGCGAAGAGAGCGCGAAGGAGAGAGAGGGAGAGGGAAUAGCGAAUGAGAGAAGAGGGAAGAAAGCUUGCACGAAAACAGCGAGGCAGAAGAGGGAAAGUGGACACUAGGACAUUUAAAGAAGAAGCAGCCAUGGAAAGCUGUGAUGGGUGGAUGGCAGAUAGAAACAUCAGAAUUAAACCUAUUUCCGUCUGGGGAUAAUCUCGUGCAUGGUAAAGGUCUUUUAAGGUGAGUCCUAUUGGCAAUGUGUGCAUGCCAUGUGCUCAUGCAUACACAGAUUUUUAGAUACAUGCUCUGUAAAAAUGUGGCACAACCAGCUGCUCAUUGCUCAUUGGCUCACUCACAAAGCUGGCAUCAUCAUCAUCAUCCAGUCACAAUUCAGAACAGCCCGAUGAAGCAGAAAUCUGAUGUGUAAGGUCGCCGGGUGCACAGCAAAUAGUAAUUAUUCCCCAUUUACUUUUAAAAAUGACCCAUUAAGCAUAAGUACAUGAGGGCCAUCACUGUGGUCGGUGUCAAAUUCUGCUUACGGUUCGACUGAAGUACGUUGCACGCGCAUUCAUUUUUUUCUCAACAGGUUUUUGCUAAAAAAUUUUUACCUUUUCAAAUUUGGAGUUUCCAUGCAUGUUGCCCAUACACCUGUCCCGUUGUCGCUGUUUCCCCCUGUCAAUUCCGGGAGUGCCCUGUGGGGCGAGCGCUCUUGUCCUUGCAGACGCGGCGGUGCGCAGUUUUUUUUCACCCUGCAGCCCGCUAGCUGUGCCGCGCGGUCAUCGCGCCGGGGUACCGAGUCACACGUCUGCAGCUGGCGCCGGCCAAUCGUCGCUCAGUAAACAGGGUGAGGCUACGGGCAGCUGUACGGCGUCCCGCCCGCCAGCCUGUCGCAGUCGACGCUGGCAGGAUUCGGACCGCGGGGCUGACCCCCGCAGCCAGGACCAGUGCUUUAGCUGGACCUGCCCCCCGGGGAAACCCAAGCAUGAUGUAACCGUGAUGUAAAAAUCUCUCUGCGGUCGUCGGAAAGUUACGCUCGGUGCUCUUUUGGGUCAUGUGAGGCGAACGUGAUUCAGCGCAUCAUUCAAAGUCAAACCAGAUCAGUGUGUCUGCGUCUUUUUUUUUGUUUUUUUUUUGCUUGGGGAUAAUCAAAAAAUAAUCACACAAAAAAUCUAAAAUUGCAGAUGGAACAGUUAUUAAUUC